UACGUAGGGGGCGAGCGUUGUCCGGAGUACUGGGCGUAAAGCGCACGCAGGCGGUCUGCUAAGUUUGGAGUGACAGUUGAUGGCUCAACCAUCAAAGUGCUUCGAAAACUGACAGACUUGAGGGCUUCAGAGGGACACGGAAUUCCGGGUGGAGUGGUGAAAUGCGUAGAGAGUCCGGAGGAACACCGAAGGCGAAGGCAGUGUCCUGGGGAGUACCGU
rnacentral:rRNA from 1 species